rnacentral:rRNA from 1 species
CCUACGGGAGGCAGCAGUGAGGAAUAUUGGUCAAUGGACGAGAGUCUGAACCAGCCAAGUAGCGUGAAGGAUGACUGCCCUAUGGGUUGUAAACUUCUUUUAUAUGGGAAUAAAACAGGGUAUGCAUACCCUCUUGUAUGUACCAUAUGAAUAAGGAUCGGCUAAUUCCGUGCCAGCAGCCGCGGUAAUACGGAGGAUCCGAGCGUUAUCCGGAUUUAUUGGGUUUAAAGGGAGCGUAGGUGGAUUGUUAAGUCAGUUGUGAAAGUUUGCGGCUCAACCGUAAAAGUGCAGUUGAAACUGGCAGUCUUGAGUACAGUAAAGGUAGGCGGAAUUCGUGGUGUAGCGGUGAAAUGCUUAGAUAUCACGAAGAACUCCGAUUGCGAAGGCAGCUCACUGGACUGCAACUGACGCUGAUGCUCGAAAGUGUGGGUAUCGAACAGGAUUAGAUACCCCAGUAGUC